rnacentral:rRNA from 1 species
UACGGGGGGAGCAAGCGUUGUUCGGAUUUACUGGGCGUAAAGGGCGCGUAGGCGGCCUGAUAAGUAGGGGGUGAAAUCCUGCGGCUUAACCGCAGGGCUGCCUUCUAAACUGUCAGGCUAGAGCACAGUAGAGGCAGGUGGAAUUCCCGGUGUAGCGGUGGAAUGCGUAGAGAUCGGGAAGAACAUCAGUGGCGAAGGCGGCCUGCUGGGCUGUUGCUGACGCUGAGGCGCGACAGCGUGGGGAGCAAACAGG